UCUGCCUUCAGGUCUGGGACAACCACUGGAAACGGUGGCUAAUACCGGAUGUGCCGCAAGGUGAAAGGUUAACUGCCUGAAGAUGAGCUCGCGUCUGAUUAGCUAGUUGGCAGUGUAAGAGACUACCAAGGCGACGAUCAGUAGCUGGUCUGAGAGGACGAUCAGCCACACUGGGACUGAGACACGGCCCAGACUCCUACGGGAGGCAGCAGUGGGGAAUUUUCCGCAAUGGGCGAAAGCCUGACGGAGCAAUACCGCGUGAGGGAGGAAGGCUCUUGGGUCGUAAACCUCUUUUCUCAGGGAAGAACACAAUGACGGUACCUGAGGAAUAAGCAUCGGCUAACUCCGUGCCAGCAGCCGCGGUAAUACGGAGGAUGCAAGCGUUAUCCGGAAUGAUUGGGCGUAAAGCGUCCGCAGGUGGCGAUGUAAGUCUGCUGUUAAAGCGUCUAGCUCAACUAGAUAAAAGCAGUGGAAACUACAUAGCUAGAGUGCGUUCGGGGCAGAGGGAAUUCCUGGUGUAGCGGUGAAAUGCGUAGAGAUCAGGAAGAACACCGGUGGCGAAGGCGCUCUGCUAGGCCGUAACUGACACUGAGGGACGAAAGC
rnacentral:rRNA from 1 species